rnacentral:rRNA from 1 species
GUUCCGACUAAGCCAUGCGGGUCAAAGGGUCGUAAGACACUGGCGUACUGCUCAGUAACACGCGGACAAUCUAACCCCAGGCGGGGUAUAACCUCGGGAAACUGAGGGUAAUUCCCCAUAGUUAUCAUAUGCUGGAAUGCUUUGAUGAUGAAAGUUCCGCGCCUGAGGAUGAGUCUGCGGCCUAUCAGGUAGUAUGUGGCGUAAAGGACCACAUAGCCUUUGACGGGUACGGGCCCUGAGAGGGGGAGCCCGGAGAUGGACUCUGAGACACUAGUCCAGGCCCUACGGGGCGCAGCAGGCGCGAAACCUGGGCAAUGCGCGCGAGCGCGACACGGGGAGCCUGAGUGCCUUGACUAAGUCAAGGCUUUUCUUAAGCCUAAAAAGCUUGAGGAA